rnacentral:rRNA from 1 species
CUACGGGACGCAGCAGUGGGGAAUAUUGCACAAUGGGCGCAAGCCUGAUGCAGCCAUGCCGCGUGUAUGAAGAAGGCCUUCGGGUUGUAAAGUACUUUCAGCGGGGAGGAAGGGAGUAAAGUUAAUACCUUUGCUCAUUGACGUUACCCGCAGAAGAAGCACCGGCUAACUCCGUGCCAGCAGCCGCGGUAAUACGGAGGGUGCAAGCGUUAAUCGGAAUUACUGGGCGUAAAGCGCACGCAGGCGGUUUGUUAAGUCAGAUGUGAAAUCCCCGGGCUCAACCUGGGAACUGCAUCUGAUACUGGCAAGCUUGAGUGUCGUAGAGGGGGGCGGAAUUCCAGGUGUAGCGGUGAAAUGCGUAGAGAUCUGGAGGAAUACCGGUGGCGAAGGCGGCCCCCUGGACGAAGACUGACGCUCAGGUGCGAAAGCGUGGGGAGCAAACAGGAUUAGAUACCCCAGUAGUC